AAACUUUCAACAACGGAUCUCUUGGUUCUGGCAUCGAUGAAGAACGCAGCGAAAUGCGAUAAGUAAUGUGAAUUGCAGAAUUCAGUGAAUCAUCGAAUCUUUGAACGCACAUUGCGCCCUUCGGUACUCCGAAGGGCAUGCCUGUCCGAGCGUCAUUACAUA
rnacentral:rRNA from 1 species